rnacentral:rRNA from 1 species
AUGAACCGUCAAUGGAUGUACGGUGACAGACAUACCUCCGAGUACAUUAAGGGCGUGCAUGAUUUUCUUGAAGUGGCUGAGGCAAACAAUCAGAAUGGUUUUAUGUGUUGUCCAUGCCCUAAAUGUGGGAAUACGAAGUCUUACUCUGACCAGAAAAUCCUUCACACCCACCUGCUUUACAAGGGUUUCAUGCCACACUAUAAUGUUUGGACGAGGCACGGAGAAAUAGGGGUUAUGAUGGAAGACGGCGAAGAAGAAGAGGACGAUGACAACUAUGUGCCCCCUAAAUACGGUGAUGCUGCAACGGGGGAAGCUGCUGAAGAUCAAGAUGAACCAGACGAUGUGCCCAAUGAUGCUGCAACGGGGGAAGCUGCUGAAGAUCAAGAGGAACCAGUGCCCGAUGAUGAUGAUCUCUGCCGGGUCAUUGUCGAUGCAAGGACGCAAUGC